GAACGCUAGCUACAGGCUUAACACAUGCAAGUCGAGGGGCAGCAUGGUCGAAGCUUGCUUCGACUGAUGGCGACCGGCGCACGGGUGCGUAACGCGUAUCGAACCUGCCCUAUACACGGGGAUAGCCUUGCGAAAGUAAGAUUAAUACCCGAUGCCAAGUUGAGAUCGCAUGAUUUUGAUUUGAAAGAUUUAUCGGUGAUGGAUGGGGAUGCGUCUGAUUAGCUUGUUGGCGGGGUAACGGCCCACCAAGGCGACGAUCAGUAGGGGUUCUGAGAGGAAGGUCCCCCACAUUGGAACUGAGACACGGUCCAAACUCCUACGGGAGGCAGCAGUGAGGAAUAUUGGUCAAUGGGCGAGAGCCUGAACCAGCCAAGUAGCGUGCAGGACGACGGCCCUAUGGGUUGUAAACUGCUUUUAUAAGGGAAUAAAGUGAGUCUCGUGAGACUUUUUGUAUGUACCUUAUGAAUAAGGACCGGCUAAUUCCGUG
rnacentral:rRNA from 1 species